UACGUAGGGUGCAAGCGUUGUCCGGAAUCAUUGGGCGUAAAGCGCGUGUAGGCGGCUCGGUAAGUCCGCUCUGAAAGUCCAGGGCUCAACCCUGGGAUGCGGGUGGAUACUGCCGGGCUCGAGUCCGGAAGAGGCGAGUGGAAUUCCCGGUGUAGCGGUGAAAUGCGCAGAUAUCGGGAGGAACACCAAUGGCGAAGGCAGCUCGCUGGGACGUGACUGACGCUGAGACGCGAAAGCGUGGGGAGCAAACAGG
rnacentral:rRNA from 1 species